rnacentral:rRNA from 1 species
UACGGGGGGGAGCAAGCGUUGUUCGGAUUUACUGGGCGUAAAGAGCUCGUAGGUGGUUUGUCGCGUUGUUCGUGAAAACUCACAGCUCAACUGUGGGCGUGCGGGCGAUACGGGCAGACUAGAGUACUGCAGGGGAGACUGGAAUUCCUGGUGUAGCGGUGGAAUGCGCAGAUAUCAGGAGGAACACCGGUGGCGAAGGCGGGUCUCUGGGCAGUAACUGACGCUGAGGAGCGAAAGCGUGGGGAGCGAACAGG